rnacentral:rRNA from 1 species
GGACUACCCGGGUAUCUAAUCCUGUUUGAUCCCCACGCUUUCGUGCCUCAGUGUCAAUACAGGCCUAGUGAACUGCCUUCGCAAUCGGUGUUCUAUUACAUAUCUAAGCAUUUCACCGCUACAUGUAAUAUUCCAUCCACCUCGACCUGAUUCAAGCCUCACAGUAUCAAUGGCAGUUCCGGAGUUAAGCUCCGGGAUUUCACCACUGACUUACAAAGCCACCUACGCACCCUUUAAACCCAGUGAAUCCGGAUAACGCUUGCACCCUCCGUAUUACCGCGGCUGCUGGCAC